rnacentral:rRNA from 1 species
AUUGAACGCUGGCGGCAUGCUUUACACAUGCAAGUCGAACGGCAGCACGGGGGCAACCCUGGUGGCGAGUGGCGAACGGGUGAGUAAUACAUAGGAACGUAUCCUGAAAUGGGGGAUAGCUCGGCGAAAGCCGGAUUAAUACCGCAUACGAUCCACGGAUGAAAGCAGGGGAUUCGCAAGAACCUUGCGUUUCUGGAGCGGCCUAUGUCUGAUUAGCUAGUUGGCGGGGUAAAAGGACCCACCCAAGGCGACGAUCAGUAGUUGGUCUGAGAGGAUGAUCAGCCACACUGGGACUGAGACACGGCCCAGACUCCUACGGGAGGCAGCAGUGGGGAAUUUUUGGACAAUGGGGGCAACCCUGAUCCAGCCAUGCCGCGUGAGUGAAGAA